UUGCUAACGUCACUCUUCGUCAGCCGUCGGCGACUCCGGGGUCUAUCAUUACUUUCCACGGAAGAUUCGACAUUUUAUCGAUUUCGGCUACGUUUUUGCCUCACGCGGUGCCGUAUCCAGUGCCCAACACUUUUGCUAUCUCUCUGGCGGGUCCUCAGGGCCAGAUCGUUGGGGGCUUAGUUGCUGGCAGCUUGGUUGCAGCUGGUACUGUGUACGUCAUCGCUGCGACGUUCGAUAACCCGAUUUAUCACCGGUUACCGGUUGAAGACGAAGGGAGAAAUUCUGGGUCUGGCGGUGGCGGCGAGGGUCACUCCCCGUCGGUGUCUGGUGCUGGUGGAGGCGGAGGAGACAGUGGACACACGCAAGGUGGAGGGGAGUCUUGUGGAAUGGUUAUGUACAGUUGUCAUUUGCCCUCGGAUAUUAUCUGGGCACCCACUGCCAGGCCACCACCGCCUCCACCGCCCUACUAAAGUUUACUGUGAAAAUUAGAUCCUCUUUUUUCUUGAAAAAAAAAAAAAUACUUUAGGCUUGGCUUUCGAUUAUCGUAAUCUUCUUCAUCACCUCUGUUUAAUUUUGAGUUCAAAUGUGACGUGGUAAUGAUUUUAGUUUGGAGUAACAGUGUAG
rnacentral:misc_RNA from 1 species